rnacentral:rRNA from 1 species
AGCGAACGCUGGCGGCAGGCUUAACACAUGCAAGUCGAGCGCUCGUAGCAAUACGAGAGCGGCAGACGGGAGAGUAACACGUGGGAACGUACCCUUCGGUUCGGAAUAACCCAGGGAAACUUGGGCUAAUACCGGAUACGUCCGUAAGGAGAAAGAUUUAUCGCCGAGGGAUCGGCCCGCGUCCGAUUAGCUAGUUGGUGAGGUAAUGGCUCACCAAGGCGACGAUCGGUAGCUGGUCUGAGAGGAUGAUCAGCCUCACUGGGACUGAGACACGGCCCAGACUCCUACGGGAGGCAGCAGUGGGGAAUAUUGGACAAUGGGCGCAAGCCUGAUCCAGCCAUGCCGCGUGGGUGAUGAAGGCCUUAGGGUUGUAAAGCCCUUUCGGCGGGGAAGAUAAUGACGGUACCCGCAGAAGAAGCCCCGGCUAACUUCGUGCCAGCCGCCGCAGUAAAAC